rnacentral:piRNA from 1 species
CAGCAAGCGUCUCUAGCUGAUUUUGGCAC